AUUGAACGCUGGCGGCAUGCCUUACACAUGCAAGUCGAACGGUAACGCGGGGCAACCUGGCGACGAGUGGCGAACGGGUGAGUAAUGCAUCGGAACGUGCCCAGUAGUGGGGGAUAGCCCGGCGAAAGCCGGAUUAAUACCGCAUACGACCUACGGGUGAAAGGGGGGGAUCGCAAGACCUCUCGCUAUUGGAGCGGCCGAUGUCAGAUUAGGUAGUUGGUGGGGUAAAGGCCUGCCAAGCCUACGAUCUGUAGCUGGUCUGAGAGGACGACCAGCCACACUGGGACUGAGACACGGCCCAGACUCCUACGGGAGGCAGCAGUGGGGAAUUUUGGACAAUGGGCGCAAGCCUGAUCCAGCCAUGCCGCGUGCGGGAAGAAGGCCUUCGGGUUGUAACCGACUUUUGUCGGGUAAGGAAAGUACCUCUUGAGUUAAUACCUCGGGGGAUGGACGGUACCCGAACGAAUAAG
rnacentral:rRNA from 1 species